UUGUUGGUAAGGUAAAAGCUUACCAAGGCUUCGAUCAGUAGCUGGUCUGAGGGGACGGCCAGCCACACUGGGACUGAGACACGGCCCAGACUCCUACGGGAGGCAGCAGUGGGGAAUUUUGGACAAUGGGGGCAACCCUGAUCCAGCCAUGCCGCGUGAGUGAAGAAGGCCUUCGGGUUGUAAAGCUCUUUCAGCCGGAACGAAACGGUCACGGUUAAUACCCGUGACUACUGACGGUACCGGAAGAAGAAGCACCGGCUAACUACGUGCCAGCAGCCGCGGUAAUACGUAGGGUGCAAGCGUUAAUCGGAAUUACUGGGCGUAAAGCGUGCGCAGGUGGUUUUGUAAGUCAGAUGUGAAAUCCCCGGGCUUAACCUGGGAACUGCGUUUGAAACUACAAGGCUAGAGUGUGGCAGAGGGGGGUGGAAUUCCGCGUGUAGCAGUGAAAUGCGUAGAUAUGUGGAGGAACACCGAUGGCGAGGGCAGCCCCCUGGGUCAACACUGACGCUCAGGCACGAAAGCAUGGGGAGCAAACAGGAUUAGAUACCCUGGUAGUCCAUGCCCUAAACGAUGUCAACUAGUUGUCGGGCCUUAACGGGCUUGGUAACGUAGCUAACGCGUGAAGUUGACCGCCUGGGGAGUACGAUCGCAAGAUUAAAACUCAAAGGAAUUGACGGGGACCCGCACAAGCGGUGGAUUAUGUGGAUUAAUUCGAUGCAACGCGAAAAACCUUACCUACCCUUGACAUGUAUCGAAGCCCGCAGAGAAGCGGGUGUGCCCGAAAGGGAACGAUAACACAGGUGCUGCAUGGCUAUCGUCAGCUCGUGUCGUGAGAUGUUGGGUUAAGUCCCGCAACGAGCGCAACCCUUGUCAUUAAUUGCCGUCAUUUAGUUGGGCACUUUAAUGAGACUGCCGG
rnacentral:rRNA from 1 species